rnacentral:misc_RNA from 1 species
GAUGAAGAACGUAGCGAAAUGCGAUAAGUAAUGUGAGUUGCAGAAUUCAGUGAAUCAUCGAAUCUUUGAACGCACAUUGCGCCCGCCAGUAUUCUGGCGGGCAUGCCUGUUCGAGCGUCAUUACAACCCUCAGGCCCCCGGGCCUGGCGUUGGGGAUCGGCGGAAGCCCCCUGCGGGCACAACGCCGUCCCCCAAAUACAGUGGCGGUCCCGCCGCAGCUUCCAUUGCGUAGUAGCUAACACCUCGCAACUGGAGAGCGGCGCGGCCACGCCGUAAAACACCCAACUUCUGAAUGUUGACCUCGAAUCAGGUAGGAAUACCCGCUGAACUUAAGCAUAUCAAUAAGCGGAGGA